CCUAUCACUAUCUCUUUCUCUCUCUCUCUCUUUCUCUUCGUAUCUUUCUCUCUUCUUUUAUACUCGCCUUUCCGAGCACCGCGCAUUCAAUAGCAUAACCUGUGCAAUUUCAACAAAUUCGAUUUUUGUUUUUUUUUUUUGACAUUCACCGAUUUUCAGCCAGCGUUAUGUUUGCGCGUCACACGCUAAAUCGCGUAAUUUCCAUUAUCGUAUUACGACGAUCGCUCUUCUGUUAAAGUAAAAUCGAAAAGAUUUUGAACUUGGAUUUUCAAAAAUAUAUGGUCGCGGUCUCUCUGUUUCGAAGAUCACCGGCGACAACGCGCGACAUAAAAGAUUUUAUUGCCGAAGGAUUUGUUUUCUCGUGUCGCACGUUACACCUGCUGCACAUUCGAAGGUAGCGGGAUACCACCACACAUUCGUACACGCAAAAGAGAGAAGCAAAACAUUCGACAGGAACGACAAGAACAAACGUGUCGUGAUUGUUACUACUAGGAAGAGUCGUUUAUCGCAAGGUCGCGAACACACAUGAGUCAGACGUGUCUCUAGUUUACGCCGCGAGAUGUAACGAGUCUUUGUAUUAACAGCCAGUGAUGCUCACUUUGUUUUUUUUUUUCUUUUUUUUUUUUUUUUUAUCAAAACCACUUGCGACUCGGUAUAGAUAAAACCGUGACUCGAAUCGAAGAGAGUUCGCUUCGCGUGUCGUCGCUCUUUUUCUCAUCCGCAAAGAGAAGUUCGCGGACGUAAAAAUUAUGUAAAAAUUAUCACUAGACGUUUGGACAAUUUGUCAUCGCGCGAAGUAACGUGUAAAUAUAAUUAUAUUGAGCAGUCUUUCUUUUCAAUGUCACAGAUAAAACAUGAGUCACUCAUGUGAUGCUUCUUCUACCUGAAAUCUUCGUGGUUUUAAUACGCUGACAAAUGUUAGAUAACUAGACGAUAAUAUCAAUUUCUUUGUACACGCAAGUACGUAGGACUUGGUGUCGAAUUUGAAGAAGAAAGAUGGAAUUUUUUGUUCCGGAGAUUUUGAAGAUAAAGUGGAACAAAGAAAAAAAAAGAGCAAAUUUAUUGUUCGAAACGACGGGGACGAAGUUAGGCCAGCUCGUGAUGAAUCAUCUUCCGUUUGACUUUCUGCACGACUGGUACGUUCGAGGGGGAGAGUACGCAUGCCGUGUAGAGAGAAGACAGAAAACCCUCCUUUCCCCGGACACCCUCUUUAAAAAGCGUUCGCCGCGGUCUCGUACGUAAUAUCGACCCAGAAGUGUUACAUCCUCUGCAUUCACUGACCGCUAAGUGUCGCCGUUUCUCACAGAAUCCCCUCUUUUAUAUCCCAAUUUACCGCCCGUUGCAGCUCCACGAUCAAACGAGCUGUGUGAAUACAUUUAGCAUUGAUAUCAAAUUCGAACGGAGAUACACACACACACACGCACGCACAAAAUCAUACCGUGUCCAACAUUAAGUUAUUAUUUCACGAAUUUUCUGUGAUGCGGAGAGAAAGAGAAAGAGACGAAGAACAGCCAAAAGUUUGUAGCACGCGGCACGUGCCCAAGAGCUAGGGGAUAACUUUAGAAGUGGAUCGUCGGAUCUCUCUUUUAGCAUCGAGAUUCGCGCGUGGGAAGAAUUUAUUUUCGGGUAAGCCGUGCGCGUUUCCCUCUUACGUAUUUUGCCCGCGAAACAAGCUUAAAGAUCUCUCGGCUGACACCCGAUGUGUGCAACCGCCGGAUCCCGAUGUAUCGUUAUCGACGAGAUUGAUAUAUCUCGCUAAUGACCGCGUGCCAGUCAAUCCGGCCCGCCCGUUAGCGCGGCGGUAAUCAAGCGGUUUCGUUUUACUGAAAGGCGUCGAUAAAAUAACCGGAAAUAAACUCAUGGUUUUGCACAUUCAUUACCGGUUUUUUUUUUUUUAGAGUAAUAGAAUAUUCAAGUGAAAUAAAAUAUUUAUUGUGUAAUCGCUCGUCUCCUUUUCUCUUUUCCGCUCAGACUAAUGUGUAUU